CAGUCGCCGCGGGAAUACGGAGGGAGCUAGCGUUGUUCGGAAUUACUGGGCGUAAAGCGCGCGUAGGCGGUUACUCAAGUCAGAGGUGAAAGCCCGGGGCUCAACCCCGGAACUGCCUUUGAAACUAGGUGACUAGAAUCUUGGAGAGGUCAGUGGAAUUCCGAGUGUAGAGGUGAAAUUCGUAGAUAUUCGGAAGAACACCAGUGGCGAAGGCGACUGACUGGACAAGUAUUGACGCUGAGGUGCGAAAGCGUGGGGAGCAAACAGGAUUAGAUACCCGCGUAGUCCCUGUCUCUUAUAC
rnacentral:rRNA from 1 species